UCUUGCUGUGGUCACACAGCCAGCAACUGAAGGGGAGAGUGUGUCCGAGCGGGGACGGAGUGCUGGCUUCUGCACAGGCAUGGGUCCCAGCUGGAAGCAGGCAAUGACGUGGCUUGACCCUCCAUGGGGCAACAUUUGUUCUAGUUCCCUUGAACUUGGCAAGGCCUAGGUGACUUUGUGGUGAGAUAAUUUAUCUCGCCAAGGGUCUGUACAGAAACAUCUAGCUGCCUCCCCAUGUCCCUUUUCCCAUCUUUUAUAGAGACAGAGUCUUCAGAUCCUCAAUGGGACACAGGGCUGCUAGGAUAGAGUGCAGCUUCUCCCCUAUUCCUCAGACUGGGGUGGCGUGGGACUAAGUUCUGGCCAACAGGUUGGGAAGAGAACAAGGGAGUCUGACUUCCAGGCUUUAAGGUGAGAGUCUUCUCCUUCCUUCUUUCCCCUUCCCACAGGCUGGAAUUUAGACCAGGUGGCUUGGCCACCUGGAUGAACACAACACCCCAGGAAGAGUAGGACAAGAAGAGAGGCAAGGCUUGGUCCCCAACUCCUUGGAGUUUCAGAUGGUUACCACCCUGGGCUGUGCAGAUGCAGAGCAUCUCCAUCAUUGUAGAUGGUUUCCUGGGAUGACACUGGCCGCACAGACAAGGUCCUGAAUCCAGCAAGUCAUCAGGAAAAAGCUCGUGGGGACCCGGAUGCUGGGAGGCAGGAAGGGGACCUGGGGAGCAGCUGCGACAACAGUCUAACCUCAGCAAGGAGAGCCAGGCAGCUGUUUGCCUUGAAACCCUCAGAAAUGAAGGUGCCAGCAAUCUGCUUUGCAGCAAGAACUUUCCAUCUCUGCAUGUGCGGGGUAUAAUUAUGGCAUUU
rnacentral:lncRNA from 1 species